UACAGAGGGGGCAAGCGUUAUUCGGAAUUAUUGGGCGUAAAGGGCGCGUAGGCGGCUUGGCAAGUGGAAGGUGAAAUCCCUCGGCUUAACCGAGGAACUGCCCUCCAAACUGCUUUGCUUGAGGCCGGGAGAGGUGAGUGGAAUUCCCAGUGUAGCGGUGAAAUGCGUAGAUAUUGGGAGGAACACCAGUGGCGAAGGCGGCUCACUGGACCGGUUCUGACGCUGAUGCGCGAAAGCGUGGGGAGCAAACGGG
rnacentral:rRNA from 1 species